rnacentral:rRNA from 1 species
UACGUAGGGUGCGAGCGUUGCUCGGAAUUACUGGGCGUAAAGGGCGCGUAGGCGGAAUGGCAAGUCGGUCGUGAAAUCCUUCGGCUCAACCGAAGAACGUCGAUCGAAACUGCCGUUCUUGAGGAUUGCAGAGGAGACUGGAAUUCCCGGUGUAGCGGUGAAAUGUGUAGAGAUCGGGAGGAACACCGGUGGCGAAGGCGGGUCUCUGGGCAAUUCCUGACGCUGAGGCGCGAAAGCGUGGGGAGCAAACGGG